rnacentral:rRNA from 1 species
CACGUAGGCGGUUGGGUAAGUCGGAUGUGAAAGCCCUGGGCUUAACCUGGGAACUGCAUUCGAUACUGCCCGGCUAGAGUAUGGGAGAGGGAAGCGGAAUUUCCGGUGUAGCGGUGAAAUGCGUAGAUAUCGGAAGGAACACCAAUGGCGAAGGCAGCUUCCUGGCCCAAUACUGACGCUCAGGUGCGAAAGCGUGGGGAUCAAACAGGAUUAGAUACCCUGGUAGUCCACGCUGUAAACGAUGAGAACUAGAUGUUGGGAGGGUUUUGCCUCUCAGUGUCGCAGCUAACGCGCUAAGUUCUCCGCCUGGGGAGUACGGCCGCAAGGUUGAA